UACGGGGGGGGGCAAGCGUUGUUCGGAAUUACUGGGCGUAAAGGGUGCGUAGGCGGUUUGCUAAGUUGGAUGUGAAAACUCUGGGCUUAACCCAGAGCCUGCAUUCAAAACUGACAGCUAGAGUUCUGGAGGGGGUAGCGGAAUUCCUGGUGUAGCGGUGAAAUGCGUAGAUAUCAGGAGGAACACCGGUGGCGAAGGCGGCUACCUGGACAGAAACUGACGCUGGAGGCACGAAAGCUAGGGGAGCAAACAGG
rnacentral:rRNA from 1 species